rnacentral:rRNA from 1 species
AUUGAACGCUGGCGGCAGGCCUAACACAUGCAAGUCGAGCGGAGCGGCAGACGGGUGAGUAAUGCCUAGGAAUCUGACUGGUAGUGGGGGAUAACGUCAGGAAACGGGCGCUAAUACCGCAUCCUCUCAGAUGAGCCUAGGUCGGAUUAGCUAGUUGGUGGGGUAAAGGUCUACCAAGGCGACGAUCCGUAACUGGACUGAGAGGAUGAUCAGUCACACUGGAACUGAGACACGGUCCAGACUCCUACGGGAGGCAGCAGUUGGGAAUAUUGGACAAUGGGCGAAAGCCUGAUCCAGCCAUGCCGCGUGAGUGAAGAAGGUCUUCGGAUUGUAAAGCACUUUAAGUUGGGAGGCGUUACCAACAGAAUAAGCACCGGCUAACUUCGUGCCAGCAGCCGCGGUAAUAC